rnacentral:rRNA from 1 species
ACGAUGGAUAGGGGUUCUGAGAGGAAGGUCCCCCACAUUGGAACUGAGACACGGUCCAAACUCCUACGGGAGGCAGCAGUGAGGAAUAUUGGUCAAUGGGCGAGAGCCUGAACCAGCCAAGUAGCGUGAAGGAUGAAGGUUCUAUGGAUUGUAAACUUCUUUUAUAAGGGAAUAAAGUGCUUUACGUGUAGAGUUUUGUAUGUACCUUAUGAAUAAGCAUCGGCUAACUCCGUGCCAGCAGCCGCGGUAAUACGGAGGAUGCGAGCGUUAUCCGGAUUUAUUGGGUUUAAAGGGAGCGUAGACGGGAUGUUAAGUCAGCUGUGAAAGUUUGGGGCUCAACCUUAAAAUUGCAGUUGAAACUGGCGUUCUUGAGUGCGGUAGAGGCAGGCGGAAUUCGUGGUGUAGCGGUGAAAUGCUUAGAUAUCACGAAGAACCCCGAUUGCGAAGGCAGCUUGCUGGAGCGUAACUGACGUUGAUGCUCGAAAGUGUGGGUAUCAAACAGGAUUAGAUACCCUGGUAGUCCACACGGUAAACGAUGGAUACUCGCUGUUGGCGAUAUACAGUCAGCGGCCAAGCGAAAGCAUUAAGUAUCCCACCUGGGGAGUACGCCGGCAACGGUGAAACUCAAAGGAAUUGACGGGGGCCCGCACAAGCGGAGGAACAUGUGGUUUAAUUCGAUGAUACGCGAGGAACCUUACCCGGGCUUAAAUUAUGCAUGAAUGAUCUGGAGACAG